AGUGAACGCUGGCGGUAGGCCUAACACAUGCAAGUCGAACGGCAGCACAGUAAGAGCUUGCUCUUACGGGUGGCGAGUGGCGGACGGGUGAGGAAUACAUCGGAAUCUACUUUUUCGUGGGGGAUAACGUAGGGAAACUUACGCUAAUACCGCAUACGACCUACGGGUGAAAGCAGGGGAUCUUCGCACCUUGCGCGAUUGAAUGAGCCGAUGUCGGAUUAGCUAGUUGGCUGGGUAAAGGCCCACCAAGGCGACGAUCCGUAGCUGGUCUGAGAGGAUGAUCGGCCACACUGGAACUGAGACACGGUCCAGACUCCUACGGGAGGCAGCAGUGGGGAAUAUUGGACAAUGGGCGCAAGCCUGAUCCAGCCAUACCGCGUGGGUGAAGAAGGCCUUCGGGUUGUAAAGCCCUUUUGUUGGGAAAGAAAAGCAGCAGGUUAAUACCCCGCUGUUCUGACGGUACCCAAAGAAUAAGCACCGGCUAACUUCGUG
rnacentral:rRNA from 1 species